rnacentral:rRNA from 1 species
UUAGUUGGUGGCGUGAGUUGUCUGGUUGAUUCCGUUAACGAACGAGACCUUCAUCUUUAAAUAGGCACUGUGAGAUAUUGCGUUAUGGCUGUAGGGGCCUAUUGGCAGAAGGGUUCGUCCCCUGCCGAUAGUUGCACCUUGCAGUUGCAAUCUCGCAGGAUGAUCUUCUUAAAGAGACAAUAUGUGAUAAGCAUAUGGAAGUUGAAGGCAAAAACAGG